UCUCAAUGAUGACUUGCCAUGCUAAUACCGAGAAAGUUUCAGAUUUUCGCUGAGUUCAAUGUGCUUUUCUGAUUAUACAACUUGUAAUUAAAGGUCCACAUUUAC